rnacentral:rRNA from 1 species
UACAGAGGGUGCAAGCGUUAAUCGGAAUUACUGGGCGUAAAGGGCAUGUAGGUGGUUUCUUAAGUUAGAUGUGAAAGCCCUGGGCUCAACCUGGGAACUGCAUCUAAAACUGGGUAACUAGAGUAUGGUAGAGGGAAGUGGAAUUUCUAGUGUAGCGGUGAAAUGCGUAGAUAUUAGAAAGAACACCAGUGGCGAAGGCGACUUCCUGGACCAAUACUGACACUGAGGUGCGAAAGCGUGGGGAGCAAACAGG